rnacentral:rRNA from 1 species
AAUCGCGAAUCAGCAUGUCGCGGUGAAUACGUUCCCGGGCCUUGUACACACCGCCCGUCACACCAUGAGAGUUGGCAAUACCCAACGUACGUGAUCUAACCCGCAAGGGAGGAAGCGUCCUAAGGUAGGGUCAGCGAUUGGGGUGAAGUCGUAACAAGGUAGC